AGUUAUUCUAUAUAUCUAUUGAUUCUAUUCUUAUAUCUCCUACUAUUGGCAGAGAGCUCAGUCCCUCCCUUUCGUUCAGCCGCCGGACUACUCCUGACGCCGUCGCCGGUUGGAGCUUCGAAGCUCACUCGGUCCCUCACUCAGCUAACGUCUCAGACUCUCAGCAGUGGAAGCAUAGUCGCCGGGAUCGCCUCCUGCCUCCGUCGCGAAGCUUUGUUCCACCUUCGCCAGCGCCAUCUCUGUUCCUGCCUCCGUCGCCAGCUCUCCGUUUCCAGCGCUGUCAUCCUUCUUUGCAUUUGAAACGAUUUUAUUUCUCUGGUAUAUUUUAUUAGUUGCCAAAUCAGAAGGUACAAUUUAGUAUUAUGGCUGAUUUGGAUUUGCUGAGGAAGAUUCAAGAUUUAUUAUCCCUCUCUUGGGUUGAAUGAAGUUUUUGUUAAAGUUAAAAGAAUGUAUCUGAGCAAUUGCAACAUGCAUUGUUAUUGUUACACACAGCAAUUUGAUGAUUUGUUUGAUCUUUGUUGCCUGUGCUGGUGUUUGUUGAUGGCCUGAAGUUUUGAGCUGUUUGUUAGAUUUGAGUUUAGAUUGUGAUAAAUAUUGAUAAUUGUUAUGUUUUGAGAAGGUUUGGCUCAGUGAUUAGGUUGAGCUUAAUUGCAGAAGAGGUCUUGCUACUUUGUUGAAUGCUGCAGUUUAAUCACCAAAUUAGACUCUUUUAGUCUACUCUCUAUAUCUCUUUCUACCUGCACUGUCUGUGUAUCUGCACAUUUUAACUUCUUGCAAGCAACUCAUCGUGAAUAAACAUGGUUCCCAUUGUUUACAUGAGGGGUUUUUUGAGGUAUAUAUACUUGCUUCUUUUAUAUUUCUUUCAUUUAUUUACUCUUUUGAUUUGCUGCUUGUUUGGUCUUACAUAUGAUGGAUUAUUAUUGCCUUCUUACUGCAAAACACAUGCAUAAAUGAAAUUGUGUAGAUCAAAUAGAAUGUGAUUAUUAGCAUAUUUAUUCUUUGUAAAUUAAUUCUUAUGUAUGUUGGUGGACAUCUCUCUAGGACAUGGGAUUAUUAGCAUAUUUAUUCUUUGUAAAUUAGCAUAUUUCUUGUUGUUAUUUAACUUGAGUUUGUAUUUUGACAAGAUUAUAAUACUCUGGUUGAUGAUAUUUCAUAUAAUGGUUUUAAUUUGAAAUACAUUUUAAGGUUUAUAUAGACUAUAUUUAUGUUUUAUGGCGGUUAUUUAUAAUUUAUUUAUUAUUUUAUUAUAAAACGGUUUUUUCGGUUAAACUCUGGUUGAACCGAUUGGACCAAUAAACCAGUAAACUAAUAGCUAAAGCGGUUCGAUGAUCGGUUCGGUUUUCAGAACCUUGGGUAAAACCGUAAAAGGGCUGGCCAUUUGCAUUUAAAACUUCUCUCUCAAGUCUCACCAACAAAGUCUCAUCAACAAGCUUCUCUCAAGUCUCAAGUUUAUUUUUUUAUAUAAAAUUUUAUACUUUUAUACAAUAUAUACACCGGGGUUUCUCUUGAACUUUAUAUAUAUAUAUAUAUACUGGGAUUUCUUUUUACCAAGAGCUAAACAAAACUCUCUGUUUCUUUCUCUUCACAUAAUAUGUGGAUUUGGAUUGGAAGUUGUAGACAUCUUAUGAUGUUGAGGUCAAAGGUGAUUCAAACUCAGUAACUGAAAAACCAGUGGAGAAUGCUAGUGAUUCAAACUCAGUAACUGAAUCUACUCAAUCUUUUCAUUAUGUAUUGCCCAGCCUCAAACUUGCUCUGCCCUCUGCAGCAAUGAUAUGGGAAUCAGCAGUUGAUUCUAGCUUCUGUCAUACGUCAUCUGGACCACAAAAAUGUCUUACAUGAUCCCCACCUUAAAGCUAGCAUUAUUCAAGUUGCCACAUCUUUGGCUGUGCAAAUUAGAAUUGGGAGAGGGUUGGUAGAAUUUGGUUUUGUUGAUGACCUUUGCAGGCAUCUUAGAAAAAGCCUUCAAGCCUUUGGGGAAUUUGUUGGAGAGCAAGAGCUGAACUCAAAUAUCUUGCUCCAAAUCUCUAUUGAGGAAUGCUUACUAAAAUUUUUCAAGCGAGUCUCUGAUGUACGGCCACUGCUUGACUUAAUGGCCAUAACCUUAGAAAAUUUGCCGUUUGGUGUUCUUGCUAGAGCAAGCAUUGGAUCACUUAUAAUCCUUGCUUGAGUGGUCACCGUAGCAUUGCCAUCUUUGCAUUCACAGCAGAAGUGCUUCUUAUGCAACUCAUAAAAGCAAUGCUGCAUUCAGAUCUGGAGACUUCAGUUGGAGCACACUAGAUUAGGAAACGUUUCCUCCUUCUUAACCUAGCAACGGCGUCGUUUUUAAAUGUGACAGGGGACAAAUCUACCUCUGUCCAUUUACUCUAAUCCAGGUUGGCACUUAACUCUGGACUAACUGCCAGAUCAGCGCCGAUAAGUGCCACAUCAGACUUUUCCGUCAACUUUGGAUGGGGGAUACAAGGGAGGGGGCGCGAUGGGUUAUUUUAUGCACGGACAGGGACCGGCGUGGGUGACUUUUAUGGCAAGGGGUUGCCUUGUCCGAAUUUGAAAUAGACAUGGACCGGAUUGGGUGUUUACUCUGCAAGUUUUGAAUAUUGGGCUUUUGAAGUCUUGGUUUUUCUUAGCUGGACUAAUGCCUGAUUCAGAAAUAACCAUUUUCUUAAUGACAAUAUGUGCCAACACAGAAUUCAUUGCAUUCAUGAUCAUUUAAGGUCUCAGUGCUGCUGCAAGGUGUGCUACUGUCGGAACAACUUCCACAAGAGCCAUCGAUCUAGUUGGCUACAUGGCAAAAAAAUUACGAGAUGUAGAUACACGUGGAUGCGUAUGUAGGUAGUGCGUGCAUUGUCCAGACUAGAGUUCAGACACAUGAUCGAGGGUAUUAAAGAUGCAUAUUCUUUUAGCCUACGCUCGCAAAUGAUUUCUAAGAAACUUGGAUUCUUGUUGCCUUUGGGUUAAAGAUCCAAAUUCUUUAAUCAAAUUGCUCUCAACAAACCCUUCGUAUUUGCAUAACAACGCUUCCGAAUCAAAGCGAGUUCUGGAUUAUAAAGAUUGACAAAUUACGCUGAACAGACCGUCUAGGUAUAAUAAAUUCAAACAACAUAGAUUUUUUUUGACAAAAAAAAAACAACAUAAAUUAAAAAAAAAGAAAAUUGAUAAUGAUUUUCAACGGCAUUAAAAAUUAAAUUAACAUCAACCUCCUCCAAGAUUUAGAAAACAAUAAAUUUGAUAUUGUAAGGUGUGUUUG